rnacentral:sRNA from 1 species
GCUGGGUGUGGUGGUGCAUGCCUGUAAUCUCAGUGACUCAGAAAGCAGAGGAAGGAGGCUCUCAAGUUAAGAGGCCAGUCUGGUCAACUCAGGGAGAUCCUGUCUCAA